rnacentral:rRNA from 1 species
AUACGUAGGGGGCGAGCGUUGUCCGGACUGAUUGGGCGUAAAGGGCGCGUAGGCGGCCCGGUAAGUCUGGAGUGAAAGUCCUGUUUUUAAGAUGGGAAUUGCUUUGGAUACUGUCGGGCUUGAGUGCAGGAGAGGUAAGUGGAAUUCCCAGUGUAGCGGUGAAAUGCGUAGAGAUUGGGAGGAACACCAGUGGCGAAGGCGACUUACUGGACUGUAACUGACGCUGAGGCGCGAAAGUGUGGGGAGCAAACAGGAUUAGAUACCCUGGUAGUCCACACUGUAAACGAUGAAUGCUAGGUGUAGGGGGUAUCGACCCCUUCUGUGCCGCAGUCAACACAAUAAGCAUUCCGCCUGGGGAGUACGGCCGCAAGGUUGAAACUCAAAGGAAUUGGCGGGG